AUUGAACGCUGGCGGCAGGCCUAACACAUGCAAGUCGAGCGGAUGAAGGGAGCUUGCUCCUGGAUUCAGCGGCGGACGGGUGAGUAAUGCCUAGGAAUCUGCCUGGCAGUGGGGGAUAACGUCCGGAAACGGGCGCUAAUACCGCAUACGUCCUGAGGGAGAAAGUGGGGGAUCUUCGGACCUCACGCUAUCAGAUGAGCCUAGGUCGGAUUAGCUAGUUGGUGGGGUAAGGGCCUACCAAGGCGACGAUCCGUAACUGGCCUGAGAGGAUGAUCAGUCACACUGGAGCUGGGCCACGGUCCUGGCUCCUGCGGGAGGCAGCAGUGGGGUAUAUUGGACAAUGGGCGAAAGCCUGGUCCAGCCGUGCCGCGUGUGUGGAGACGGUCUUCGGAUUGUAAAGCACUUUAAGUUGGGAGGAAGGGCAGUAAGUUAAUACCUUGCUGUUUUGACGUUACCAACAGAAUAAGCACCGGCUAACUUCGUG
rnacentral:rRNA from 1 species